rnacentral:rRNA from 1 species
GAGGAGCCUGCGGCCCAUCAGGUUGUUGGCGGGGUAACGGCCCACCAAGCCGCUGACGGGUAGCUGGUCUGUGAGGACAGACAGCCAGACUGGGACUGAGACACGGCCCAGACUCCUACGGGAGGCAGCAGCAAGGAAUUUUCGUCAAUGGGGGCAACCCUGAACGAGCAACGCCGCGUGGAGGAUGACGGCCUUCGGGUUGUAAACUCCUUUUGCGGGGGAUGAUACUGACCGUACCCCGCGAAUAAGGCUCGGCUAACUCUGUGCCAGCAGCCGCGGUAAGACAGAGGAGCCAAGCGUUGUCCGGAGUGACUGGGCGUAAAGCGCACGCAGGCGGUCGUGCACGUGGGGUGUGAAAGCUCUCGGCUUAACUGAGAGAGGUCACCUCAUACGGCGCGGCUCGAGCCCUGCAGAGGUCCACGGAAUUGCCGGUGUAGUGGUGAAAUGCGUAGAGAUCGGCAGG